UGCGAUAAAGAUAGAGUGAGGAGUCCGAGUCUCAUGAUAAAAUCUAGGAGUCUUAUGCAACUUGUUUGCAUCAAUCGAACAGGAGCUGCUAGUGAAAACUAAACAUCUCGACUCUCUCAGCAAUAAUUGUGAUCUGAGAUAAAUUAAACAUCAACACUGACAAAUCUCCAAAUGGCUUGCGUUGUUCAUUUCAUGUGUCAGAUCCCAUUUCAAAUGGUUUAGUUGAACCUUCUUUGUAAAACUAUCAUAUGGAGCUACGCACACACAACCCAAACCAUUUGUAGUAAGUAGUUCUUCUGAUCUAACUUCAUAUCAUGCUAUCUAUCAAAUAAUAAUAAUAAUAAUAAUAAUAAUAAUAAUACUGAUAAUUGUUUCAUCCAGCUUCCCUAAAAUCAACUUUCCAGAAUUCAACUAGCACAUAUUUAACAAAUUCUCAUCGACACCUUCAUCUCAGUUUGCUAAGGUAAGAAAACAGAUAUGUAGACAAUGUUCUUGUUAUGAAUAUUUUUCUGUAGUUUUACCAUAUGGCAAAAUUAGAUAAUACUCCAAGUAUGUACAUUCAUUUUUUGACCACCCUCCUUAUAAUGAGAAAUGAUCCCAUCUAAAGCAUCUGUUCAGAACAAAUGAGGGAGGAAGCUAAAAGAUUUCAAAGUGAAAUGGCAUUGCUUGAUCUCUGCUAGCUCCUUUGGACUCUUCUAGUGAAGUAAUAAAUAGAAAUAAGUGUUUUAGCCAACAAUGAAGUUACAGUUUGAUCUGUUUGGUCCCUUUAGCCACUUCUAAAUGGAAUAAUGAAAAGUAUGCAUGUUUCAGCCCAAAAAUGAUAAAUACCACCAAGACAAAUCCCAUGACAAAUAUUUGUAUGAUAAAAAACUAUGGAUGGUAAAAUCAAGAUAACUGAGACCUUGAUUUACCAAAGAAAAAUGCAAAAAAGGAUCAGCAAGGCUUUUGAACAAACAGUUCCAAUAGAGAUAACCAAUUGGUUUGCCUUGAUCAAAGCCUACAAUACCUGUUGCAUAGCCCUCUUACAUCUGAAGUUGCUUAUUGAUCACUGACAUGGUUUUUCGUUAUUUCAAUACAAAAUCGUGUAACUAAGUAAGGAGCACAAAUCUAAAUCUCAUAUAAAUGAUAUAUACACAAUCAUCUUUUAAUUUUCUAACAUAUACAAUUUUGUUAUGUAUCAUGAAAACCCUUUAGAUUUCUGUUUACACUCUCUGAAUAUCUAUGGCCUAUAAUGAAUCAUACACUAGGGAAGAAAGCAAACUUGGAACUCACAGGACAAAGUAUAUUAGUGUUAGAUCAAAAUGCUUAGGUGGUGCUUGUGCAUUAUUAAUUAUAUUUUUAGAAGCUGGACAAGAAGUGUUGCUCUCAAUGAUCUUAGCAAAGGCUAAAUAAAACUGAAGGAAUCAUGAUUUUGAUGAUGCUGGAGGCAACAUAAAUAAGCUCCAUAUUUGCUUGGCCUCCAUGGUUCCUGUGUUGGAAUUAUUGUUCGUCUUUUGAAAUGUUCUCUACAAUAUAUUCCCCGGUUGUUGAAACAAAAGCAGCCAAAGGAAUAUAUUAAAUCCAUCAAAAGACAGUUACUAAUUAUGCAUGAAUUAUCCACUUCAAACUUCAGCAACUCAUCUUUCAUAUCCAAUUUAAUAAAAAUAUCAUAUUCUGUAUCUUAGAAUUAUAUAUACGCCUAAAUGGAUACAUGCAAGGAACUGACUAUUUUCAUACUUUGAUAGAUGUAUUGAUUAUCCUUAUUACAAAAGUUAUUGAGAUUUGAGAAUGUAAUAAAUCAAAAAGCAAAG
rnacentral:lncRNA from 1 species